rfam:Neorickettsia helminthoeca str. Oregon, complete genome.
GCACCCUUAGCUCAGCUGGAUAGAGCGUUUGACUACGGAUCAGAAGGCCAGGGGUUCGAAUCCUCUAGGGUGCU